UACGUAGGGUGCAAGCGUUAUCCGGAAUUAUUGGGCGUAAAGAGCUCGUAGGCGGUUUGUCGCGUCUGCUGUGAAAACUGGAGGCUCAACCUCCAGCCUGCAGUGGGUACGGGCAAACUAGAGUGCGGUAGGGGAGAUUGGAAUUCCUGGUGUAGCGGUGAAAUGCGCAGAUAUCAGGAGGAACACCGGCGGCGAAGGCGGGUCUCUGGGCCGUAACUGACGCUGAGGAGCGAAAGCGUGGGGAGCGAACAGG
rnacentral:rRNA from 1 species